rnacentral:rRNA from 1 species
CCUACGGGCGGCAGCAGUGGGGAAUAUUGCACAAUGGGGGAAACCCUGAUGCAGCGACGCCGCGUGAGUAAAGAAGUAAUUCGUUAUGUAAAGCUCUAUCAGCAGGGAAGAAAAUGACGGUACCUGAGUAAGAAGCCCCGGCUAACUACGUGCCAGCAGCCGCGGUAAGACGUAGGGGGCAAGCGUUAUCCGGCUUUACUGGGUGUAAAGGGAGCGUAGACGGCAGUGAAAGUCUGGAGUGAAAGGCGGGGGCUCAACCCCCGGACUGCUAUGGAAACUGUACGGCUGGAGUGCAGUAGAGGUAAGUGGAAUUCCUAGUGUAGCGGUGAAAUGCGUAGAUAUUAGGAGGAACACCAGUGGCGAAGGCGGCUUACUGGACUGUAACUGACGUUGAGGCUCGAAAGCGUGGGGAGCAAACAGGAUUAGAUACCCGAGUAGUC